rnacentral:rRNA from 1 species
GAUGAACGCUGGCGGCGUGCCUAAUACAUGCAAGUAGAACGCUGAAGGAGGAGCUUGCUCUUCUGGAUGAGUUGCGAACGGGUGAGUAACGCGUAGGUAACCUGCCUGGUAGCGGGGGAUAACUAUUGGAAACGAUAGCUAAUACCGCAUGACAACAGUUAUUGCAUGAUAACUGUUUAAAAGGGGCAACUGCUCCACUACCAGAUGGACCUGCGUUGUAUUAGCUAGUUGGUGAGGUAACGGCUCACCAAGGCGACGAUACAUAGCCGACCUGAGAGGGUGAUCGGCCACACUGGGACUGAGACACGGCCCAGACUCCUACGGGAGGCAGCAGUAGGGAAUCUUCGGCAAUGGACGGAAGUCUGACCGAGCAACGCCGCGUGAGUGAUGAAGGUUUUCGGAUCGUAAAGCUCUGUUGUAAGAGAAGAACGAGUGUGAGAGUGGAAAGUUCACACUGUGACGGUAUCUUACCAGAAAGGGACGGCUAACUACGUG